rnacentral:rRNA from 1 species
GACGAACGCUGGCGGCGUGCUUAACACAUGCCAGUCGAACGGAAAGGCCCUGCUUUUGUGGGGUGCUCGAGUGGCGAACGGGUGAGUAACACGUGAGUAACCUGCCCUUGACUUUGGGAUAACUUCAGGAAACUGGGGCUAAUACCGGAUAGGAGCUCCUGCUGCAUGGUGGGGGUUGGAAAGUUUCGGCGGUUGGGGAUGGACUCGCGGCUUAUCAGCUUGUUGGUGGGGUAGUGGCUUACCAAGGCUUUGACGGGUAGCCGGCCUGAGAGGGUGACCGGCCACAGUGGGACUGAGAUACGGCCCAGACUCCUACGGGAGGCAGCAGUGGGGAAUAUUGCACAAUGGGCGGAAGCCUGAUGCAGCAACGCCGCGUGCGGGAUGACGGCCUUCGGGUUGUAAACCGCUUUCGCCUGUGACGAAGCGUGAGUGACGGUAAUGGGUAAAGAAGCACCGGCUAACUACGUG